UUGUGUUGGUGGAGCCCUUGCUAAAGACACAACCUUUACUCCUGACUUUAGAGACUACCUCGACUCCAUGUGGAGAUUGGAACUUGAGGGAGCCCUUGCUGGGUGGAU
rnacentral:lncRNA from 1 species